rnacentral:rRNA from 1 species
GUCCACGCCGUAACGAUGAUAACUAGUUGUUCGGCACUUGGUGCCUGAGUGACGCAGCUAACGCAUUAAGUUAUCCGCCUGGGAGUACGGUCGCAAGAUUAACUCAAGGAAUUGACGGGCCUGCACAAGCGGUGGAGCAUGUGGUUAAUUCGAAGCAACGCGCAGAACCUUACCAGCCUUUGACAUCCCGCGCUACCUGGAGAGAUUCAGGGUUCCUUUCGGGACGCGGUGACAGGUGCUGCAUGGCUGUCGU